UCCCUGGUGGCUGAGAUGGUAAAGCGUCUGCCUACAAUGCGGGAGACCAGGGUUUGAUCCCUGGACCGGGAA
rnacentral:tRNA from 1 species